rnacentral:rRNA from 1 species
AGUGAACGCUGGCGGUAGGCCUAACACAUGCAAGUCGAACGGCAGCACAGUAAGAGCUUGCUCUUACGGGUGGCGAGUGGCGGACGGGUGAGGAAUACAUCGGAAUCUACUUUUUCGUGGGGGAUAACGUAGGGAAACUUACGCUAAUACCGCAUACGACCUACGGGUGAAAGCAGGGGAUCUUCGGACCUUGCGCGAUUGAAUGAUCCGAUGUCGGAUUAGCUAGUUGGCGGGGUAAAGGCCCACCAAGGCGACGAUCCGUAGCUGGUCUGAGAGGAUGAUCAGCCACACUGGAACUGAGACACGGUCCAGACUACUACGGGAGGCAGCAGUGGGGAAUAUUGGACAAUGGGCGCAAGCCUGAUCCAGCCAUACCGCGUGGGUGAAGAAGGCCUUCGGGUUGUAAAGCCCUUUUGUUGGGAAAGAAAAGCAGCAGGUUAAUACCCCGCUGUUCUGACGGUACCCAAAGAAUAAGCACCGGCUAACUUCGUG